rnacentral:lncRNA from 1 species
AAGCUUGUAACCCUAGAUAGUGGGGUUUUUAGCUUUCUUCUCAAGCCUCGAGCUUUGAAAUUUUUGUAAUAAUUUUUUUUUAUAUAAAAUCUUAUUUUUAUGCAAUUUUAUCUCUUUACAUUAUGCAAUUUAAUUUUAUGCAAUUAGGUUAGUUUAAAUUAUGCAGUUUAAAUUUAUGCAAUUAGGAUAGUUUAAUUUAUGAAAUUAGGGUAGUUUAUUUUUUUGCAUUUAAAUUUUGCAAGUAGAUUUAGAUCAUGUCUAGCUA